GUGCCAGCAGCCGCGGUAAUACCGGCAGCCCAAGUGAUGGCCGAUCUUAUUGGGGGUAAAGCGUCCGUAGCUGGCCACGCAAGUCCAUCGGGAAAUCCACCCGCCCAAGCGGUGGGCGUCCGGUGGAAACUGUGCGGCUUGGGACCGGAAGGCGCGUGGGGUACGUCCGGGGUAGGAGUGAAAUCCCGUAAUCCUGGACGGACCGCCGAUGGCGAAUCCACGUCGCGAGGACGGAUCCGACAGUGAGGGACGAAAGCCAGGGUCUCGAACCGGAUUAGAAACCCCAGUAGUCC
rnacentral:rRNA from 1 species